UCUCCUGGAAACGGGUGGUAAUGCCGGAUGCUCCGACUCCUCGCAUGGGGUGUCGGGAAAGAUUUCAUCGGUAUGGGAUGGGGUCGCGUCCUAUCAGGUAGUCGGCGGGGUAACGGCCCACCGAGCCUACGACGGGUAGCCGGCCUGAGAGGGCGACCGGCCACAUUGGGACUGAGAUACGGCCCAGACUCCUACGGGAGGCAGCAGUGGGGAAUAUUGCACAAUGGGCGCAAGCCUGAUGCAGCGACGCCGCGUGCGGGAUGACGGCCUUCGGGUUGUAAACCGCUUUUGAUCGGGAGCAAGCCUUCGGGUGAGUGUACCUUUCGAAUAAGCACCGGCUAACUACGUGCCAGCAGCCGCGGUAAUACGUAGGGUGCAAGCGUUAUCCGGAAUUAUUGGGCGUAAAGGGCUCGUAGGCGGUUCGUCGCGUCCGGUGUGAAAGUCCAUCGCUUAACGGUGGAUCUGCGCCGGGUACGGGCGGGCUGGAGUGCGGUAGGGGAG
rnacentral:rRNA from 1 species